rnacentral:rRNA from 1 species
CGAUGGGAAACAGGUUAAUAUUCCUGUACUCGGUGUUACUGCGAAGGGGGGACGGAGAAGGCUAUGUUGGCCGGGCGACGGUUGUCCCGGUUUAAGCAUGUAGGCGGAUGUUCCAGGUAAAUCCGGAGCGUCACUAACGCUGAGGUGUGAUGACGAGGCACUACGGUGCUGAAGUGACAAAUGCCCUGCUUCCAGGAAAAGCCUCUAAGCAUCAGGUAACAUCAAAUCGUACCCCAAACCGACACAGGUGGUCAGGUAGAGAAUACCAAGGCGCUUGAGAGAACUCGGGUGAAGGAACUAGGCAAAAUGGUGCCGUAACUUCGGGAGAAGGCACGCUGAUGGUAAGUGAAGUGACUUGCUCAUGGAGCUGAAAUCAGUCGAAGAUACCAGCUGGCUGCAACUGUUUAUUAAAAACACAGCACUGUGCAAACACGAAAGUGGACGUAUACGGUGUGACGCCUGCCCGGUGCCGGAAGGUUAAUUGAUGGGGUUAUCCUCGCGGAGAAGCUCUUGAUCGAAGCCCCGGUAAACGGCGGCCGUAACUAUAACGGUCCUAAGGUAGCGAAAUUCCUUGUCGGGUAAGUUCCGACCUGCACGAAUGGCGUAAUGAUGGCCAGGCUGUCUCCACCCGAGACUCAGUGAAAUUGAACUCGCUGUGAAGAUGCAGUGUACCCGCGGCAAGACGGAAAGACCCCGUGAACCUUUACUAUAGCUUGACACUGAACACUGGUCCUUGAUGUGUAGGAUAGGUGGGAGGCUUUGAAGUGUGGACGCCAGUCUGCAUGGAGCCAUCCUUGAAAUACCACCCUUUAAUGGCUGGUGUUCUAACGUGGGCCCGUAAUCCGGGUUGCGGACAGUGUCUGGUGGGUAGUUUGACUGGGGCGGUCUCCUCCUAAAGAGUAACGGAGGAGCACGAAGGUCAGCUAAUCCUGGUCGGACAUCAGGAGGUUAGUGCAAUGGCAUAAGCUGGC